rnacentral:rRNA from 1 species
UACGGAGGGAGCUAGCGUUAUUCGGAAUUACUGGGCGUAAAGCGCACGUAGGCGGCUUUGUAAGUAAGAGGUGAAAGCCCGGAGCUCAACGUCCGGAACUGCCUUUUAGACUGCAUCGCUUGAAUCCAGGAGAGGUGAGGUGGAACUGCGAGUGUAGAGGUGAAAUUCGUAGAUAUUCGCAAGAACACCAAGUGGCGAAG